rnacentral:rRNA from 1 species
UACGGAGGAUGCAAGCGUUAUCCGGAUUCAUUGGGUUUAAAGGGUGCGUAGGCGGGCUAUUAAGUCAGUGGUGAAAUCCUGCAGCUUAACUGCAGAACUGCCGUUGAUACUGAUAGUCUUGAGUUUGGUUAAGGUAGGCGGAAUGUGUGGUGUAGCGGUGAAAUGCUUAGAUAUCACACAGAACACCGAUUGCGAAGGCAGCACACUAAGUCAUUAUUGACGCUGAGGCACGAAAGUGUGGGGAUCAAACA